AUGUGGCUCACUCUCCUUGCUUCCCUCCAUUCACUGAUUAUGUGUCAUUUUCUCCUUUAAUCUCCAAUUCCACUCAGAUUUCGCGUGUCCUUUCUCCAUUCGCCAAUCUGGCUACUUCACUGUUCCCCAUCCAUUUUCAAAUUUUGAAUCCCUUCAUCUUUAAUUCCUAUCUGUUGCAUUUAUUCUUCUCCUGUUUCCAAGCCUGCCUUUCUCGAUAUUUUCUUUCAACACCGCCCCUCUCCCCAAUCCUAUGGCUCCCAAUAGCCUUUCCAAACCUCCCCCUCCCCAUAUUCAAUGAAUGUAUUAACAUUCUCUUCCCAAUUCAAUUUCAAUUUCAUCCCGUUUCUUCCCAAAAAUCUUCAGCAUUUCUUCUUCAUACCGUUUCUUUCCUAACCUUCUCCUACGCCGCAGCGUUCAUUUCUUCUCAGACGCGUUUUAUCUUCCCUAAUCUCCAUCCUGGCUGCACCGCAAUCUACUCGAAGCCAUUUCUUCGUUUCUUCCGCCGUUUAUUUCCAAGAACGCUUCAGGUUUUGUUAAUCGAUGUGGGUUCUCCGUCGCUGGCGGAGCCCCCUACGAGCUCUGAUCCCGCAGAUCUCUAAUGCAAAGAUUAUGAUUAUUGAUCCAAAGCCCGGAGCUGUGGAAACUAAGAUUAUAAUUUCUGGAACCCCAUAGCAAAUCAUGCUGCACAAAGUCUUAUUCAUGCGUUUAACAUGAGUGAGAGGGAUUCAGGUUGAACUCUUAAUUUUGGUUGCAAAUUAAAGGUGGAAACUGAGAUGGUGCAUUUUAAACGACUAUGGUGUAAGAGGAGCCAAUCCUCCAAUUUCAUGGUUACCCUCCUUUAAUUAAGCCCGGUUUUCCAUAUUCAUGAAUGAAAAUAUGUAUAACUUUGAUAUGUAAGGUUAUAGCUAAUAAUCUUGAUGACUUAGGUUAUAGCUAAUAAUCUUGAGGAUGUAGGCUGGUGUGCGAUUGUGGUGAAAGAGAGAUUGGUAGCUCUUAUAUGCUAUUAUGUUUUAUGCUGGACAAGGGCAUUGGGUUACCACUUACGUUGAAGCUUAUUGUGAAUAAUUUUGGAUUUUGGAUGCAAAAGAAUUUUGGUACUUGAAAAAAUUCCAGGUUUUUUUGAAAGCAAGCAUCUAUACAUACCUCAGACCUUGCCUCAGACCUGGAAUAGACGAAGAGCUCUAUAUUUGUGGUUUCCAUGCUGCUGUUUUAUUGUGAAUGUAAACCCAAUUCUAGGAAAUCGAUAGUAUUUAUUAAGAGUAUGAACACCGAAGAGAAUGGAGCAGCCGCAAGAUAAAACUAUCAAGUUGCAGGGAACUUAACAUGGUAAGUUCUCAUACUCUACAUGGUUUAAUUUUUUUCAUAACCAUUAUCAAGGCACCAUUUUGAUGUGAAGUGAAAUUUUGAAUAUAACUCUUGGCUUUCAGACUGUGAAGAGAACAAUUAAGUUUCAGUGUUAUCACCUAAGAUAAAUUAAAAGAUUGUUUUUCUUCAUUCCCUGUGGUGUUUCUGAUUUGUUCUUUUGUGUUGUAAUGUCUCUUAUUGUAUUUGUGUUACUAACUACACUGCUUUUAUCAUUUGUUAUUUCUCCUACUAUUGUUUAUUUUUUCAAUAUCUUAAUGAAACAGCAAGGAUUAUAUUUAAAUACUAAUUUAGUGAGACAGGUUUGAUAGUAUAUCUCUAAAGUCAGACCCUGAGGCACAAAUCAAGGCAGUAGUUGAGCCCAAACUGGGUGCUAAACAAUGCAUUACUGCUAGGUUUUUUUUACGAUGAUAAUAGGUUAGCAUGAUACUUUAGACUUUAGCCAUCACAACGAUUUUGUGAGUCUAAAUCAAAAUGAAGCUGCACCUGUAUAUUUAAACAAUUUUACAUCAUUUACCAAUUAAUUGGUUUGCAAAAAUUUUAAGGUGGCUUUUUGACUAUAAUACUUCUGUGGAUCAUAUUACCUUUAUAUUGGACAGCAGCUCUUGCAUUUUUUGUGUGCUACUAGAUGAUUGGAACAAGUGAAUUGUUUUGAGAAAAAAAUCCAGGUUUAUAAUUGAAUCUCAUUUAUUAAGUGAUCUUGAAAAUGAAUGCUUCUCAAACUAGGUCACUCUCGAUUGUUGUGCUUGGUGCUGGGGAUCUAUCUAAUAAGAAGAUAACCUUUAUGAAUUAGUAAUCCUGUGUUUGUGUUACUUAAAGAUAACCUUUGUGAAUCAUGUUAUUAGUGCCAGAACUUGAACAGUCAUGAGUUAUUUGCUUUUUCUAUCAAAGGCUUUUUUGUAAAUUUUCCUUUGUUUUCUUAAAAUGGUUUCUUAUUGGCUCUUCAUCUGGUGGAAACUUAACCAGAAUUUCCUGGUCUGUCCCGAUGUCCAAUACUAGAAUGAUUGACUGUGCUGAUUUGGUGGGCAUUUCUUCGUAGUCUUCUGGAGGGUUAAUGGGGAACUUUCGGUGGGGGCUGAUAAAUAUAUAUUGAAACAGCAAGGGUUGCAUUAAGUAGUAGAUACCAUCAAACAAAUUUAAUAUUUUUCGUUUGAAUUCUAGGAUUGAUUUUUCUUUCCAUUUGAAUUCAAAUUCUUGCACCAUCUCUGGCGAGGUUGAGGGUGGACAAAGAAGCAAGGUUGAUGACUCAUUUGGAUAGGUUAAUGUGAUCAUAUUUUUAAUUGUACUCAGUACUCACGAUAAAUCAAGGUUUAAACACUUUUCAACUGCCCCUAAGGAUUUAGUGUGUCUAUUUUAAUUUGUCAUUUUUUUGGCUUAUGGAAAGCUGAAGGGUGAAUCUUCAUCUCCGAUUAUAGAGGAGUUUUCCCUGAGGAAUAGCUUGGAUCAACUAGACAUCAUUUUGCUAAUUUAUUAUCAAUUUUGUAUAUCAUUCAUUGCAACACUGUGUAGAACCUCAAAUCCUUUUUAUAAUGGAGUUGUUCUUAUUUGAUGGUUUAUUCAA